rnacentral:rRNA from 1 species
AUUGAACGCUGGCGGCAGGCCUAACACAUGCAAGUCGAACGAGUGGCGGACGGGUGAGUAAUGUCUGGGAAACUGCCUGAUGGAGGGGGAUAACUACUGGAAACGGUAGCUAAUACCGCAUACCAUCGGAUGUGCCCAGAUGGGAUUAGCUAGUAGGUGGGGUAACGGACCACCUAGGCGACGAUCCCUAGCUGGUUUGAGCGGAUGACCCGCCAACCUGGAAAUUGGACACGGUCCCGCAUCCCUAGGGAGGCAUCAGUGGGGAAUAUUGCACAAGUGGCGCAAGCCUGAUUCAGCCAUGCCGCGUGGAUUAAGAAGGCCUUCGGGUUGUAAAGUACUUUCAGCGGGGAGGCGUUACCCGCAGAAGAAGCACCGGCUAACUCCGUGCCAGCAGCCGCGGUAAUUC